rnacentral:rRNA from 1 species
GACGAACGCUGGCGGCGUGCCUAAUACAUGCAAGUCGAACGAGCGGAGGACGGGAGAGUAAUGUAUGGGGACUGCCCGAUAGAGGGGGAUAACUACGGGAAACGGGGGCUAAUACCGCAUACUAUCGGAUAACCGAUAUGGGAUUAGCUAGUAGGUGGGGUAAAGGCUCACCUAGGCGACGAUCUCUAGCUGGUCUGAGAGGAUGAUCAGCCACACUGGGACAGAGACACUGCCCAGACGCCUACGGAGGCAGCAGUGGAGAAUAUUGCACAAUGGGCGCAAGCCUGAUGCCGCCAUGCCGCGUGUAUGCAGAAGGCCUUAGGGUUGUAAAGUACUUUCAGCGGGGAGGCGUUACGCGCAGAAGAAGCACCGGCUAACUCCGUGCCAGCAGCCGCGGUAAUUC